CCGCGGGCAUGUGCACUUCCGCCCACGUGUUCACCGGCGGCCGGAAGUGAUGUCACGGGGCGCCGCGGGGGAAGCCGGGAAGACGGUUCGAGCUGCAUGUGAAGAGAGAGGUCUGCAAGAGUAUGUAUUUAUAUCCAUUUGCUCAAGCCUGGAAGUCUGUCUCCCUGGAAUCCCCUCUUGGUUUGACAAAUCACAUUCAGUCCUAACGGCUCACCUCAAGAGGCCCCUAUGGAAGUAUUUCUCCGUGCUACCUGGCGUGCAGUAUUCAUUGCCCCCUCCUCUGUGGUCUAAUGCCACUUUGUUCAAACUGCUGGUAUGGAAAUUAGAGAAAUAGUUAGCCCAUGUUUUACUAAAGGACAGCGAAAACUAUUCCAGAGUAUUAUGUCUAUGGUGAACUCCCUCAUUUCUUCUGGGAACAGGAGCACACACACCAUAGACAAUUGGUACAGGGAUGGACAGCUGGGCAAGUUGGGCCAUGAAGUCUUUGCCCAGCCUUUUGAAUUUCAAACUAUAAGGAAGUUAAGAAAGCUCCCCCCUCACCCCCAAGUGGUUGAAAGCUGAAAGAUAAUGGAUUUGUUGCCAGUCUGUAAUUAGAGAAGCAGAUUUAAGUCCCUGGUUCAGUGGUUUCUGUGUACAGCUAAAUCCCUCUUCCUACAAACCUGUCCAAUUAUUAACUCCAUGAGCCAAUAAAUUCUCCUUUUGCCCUUAGCUAUUUGGAGCUGAAUUCCUAUCCCUUGCAAAGGAAAAAGUAAAAACAAAACAAACAAACAAAAAACAGUAACAAGAUCUAAGGAGAUGGAUGCUAAAAUUGCUUUGCAUAAAAAAGGUUAAAAAAAAUUGGAAUUUUGGGCACUCAGAAAAGGGAAAGGUGAACGGUAGAAAGAAAAAGGAACGUGAAAGGGGGCAGGAUUGAUAAGGGUUAAAUGUUGUGACACCUUCCCCAACCCAAUGUUUCCAGUAAAUUCUACCAGACUCAGUUUUGGUGUGGGUUUUUUGUUGUAGAAAUCAGAAAAGAGCAUGUCUCAUGUUUGGGUCACUAUAGUCUAGAACCACAAGGUUGGCCAACAUAGCAGAACUCAAGAAACAGAAGAGGCCAGGAGAGUUUAUAAGCAUUGGAAAUAAACAGGAAUAUUGAAUGAACCAGGCUUUCAACUUCUGCAGGCUGGGUACCAGGAGGUUUUGAUACAUUUUUGCCUAGACCUCAAGGGGGCAGAGUAAGGCCCCCAGCUGAUAUCUGGACUUUAUUAAUAUGAAGGAUAAUAUUAAUAUAGACUGUAGAAACCAGCAUGUUUGUAAACAUUCAAAUUUAUUUUAAAGCCCUGUUAUUGUAAGUAUAGUGAUCUUUAAAAAAUAUUUGUCCACUAUUUGCUCUCUGGAUUACUAAGUGCAUCCUUGCUGUCAGUAUCCUUAUAAAAUUCUUUGUGAAUAACCUGAUGUGUUUUAAAUAAUUGUGAUGGUUAAUUUUAUGUGUCACACUUACUGGGCUACAGAGUGCUCAUAUACUUGUUCAAAUUUUUUUCUGGGUGUUUGCACAGGGAUGCUUUUAUUUGAAAUUAAAACAUUUUAAUGAGUAAAGCA